rnacentral:rRNA from 1 species
GUUAACCCUUGGACAGCACUCGCGGUAAAAAGAUAGGUGGUAGCGUUAAUCGGAUUUACUGGGCGUAAAGCGCGCGUAUGUGGUUAAUUAAGUCAAAUGUGAAAUCCCCGAGCUUAACUUGGGAAUGGCAUUCGAUACUGGUUAGCUAGAGUAUGGGAGAGGAUGGUAGAAUUCCAGGUGUAGCGGUGAAAUGCGUAGAGAUCUGGAGGAAUACCGAUGGCGAAGGCAGCCAUCUGGCCUAAUACUGACACUGAGGUGCGAAAGCAUGGGGAGCAAACAGGAUUAGAUACCCCAGUAGUC